AUCUUUCUAGUGAGCUUUUGACAUAUCUAGAAGAGAAAGAUUUUUUCACAAUGGACUCUUCUUGAGACACCGCAAUAUAAUAGGAUGUCUGAAAGAAGGAAUCAAACUCUGUUAGACAUGAUUUGGUCCAUGAUGAGGUUUGCACAUCUGCCUAUCUUCUUUUGGGGAUAUGUUCUUGAGACUACCUGCUAUGUACUUAAUAAGGUUCCAAGCAAGUCUGUCAUAAAAACUCUAUAUAAGAUAUGGACAAGCGUAGGCCAACACUCUCUCACCUUAGGCUUUGAGGUUGUCUGGUUCAUAUUAAAUAUUUACAGAUAGAUAAAUUUGGACCUAGGUCUGAUAAAUAUAAGUUUAUAGGAUACCCAAAAGAAACUAAGAGAUAUUAUUUCUAUCUUGCUGAAGAACAAAAAGUGUUCGUCAACCCUAGGAUACUCUUUUUAGAAAAAGAGUUCCUUAAUGAAGGAGCUAAUGCCACUAAGAUCGAGCUUGACGAAGUUCGACAAGUAGAACAACUAGCAUAAUCAAGUAGAUAUAUAGAAUCAAAUUUGAUUAGAGAAUCAAAUUCGGAGUCCAUUAUAGAAGCACCAUUAAGGAGAUCCGAUAGAGUACUGCAUCAGCCAGACAGAUACUACAGUUUUUUAGUGUAGGAUGAUAAUUCUAUUGAAUUUGAUGAGAACAACGAGGAUCCGAUCACCUAUAUGGAUGCUAUACAGAGAUCAAACUUUAAAGAAUGGCUUAAGACCAUGAAAUCCGAAAUGGAGCUCAUGGAGAUCAAUGGUGUAUGGAUACUAGUUGAUUCACCUAAAAGGAUAAAAUCUAUAAGGUGCAAAUGGACAUUCAAAAAGAAAAGUGAAGACCUAUAAAAUUUGUUUGGUUGCCAAAGGACAUUGUCAAUAUUAUGAUAUUGACUAUGAUGAGAUAUUUUCUCCUGUGGCAAUACUGAAAUCUAUUCGAAUUUUGCUUGCAAAAGCAGUAUAUCUAAAUUACAAAAUUUGGCAAAUGGAUGUUAAGAUAGCUUUUCUGAAUGAAAAGCUAGAUGAAGAAGUGGAUAUGAUACAGUCUGAAGGGUUCACAUUCACAGAUGAAUCUAAGAUGUACAAGCUAUAGAAAUUUAUUUAUGGAUUAAAGAAAGCAUCCCGAAGUUGAAACGUGCAUUUUAAUAAAACAAUCAAAACGUAUGGCUUCGUUAAGAACCGAAAAGAGGCUUAUGUAUAUAAAUAGGCUAACAGUUCUAUGGUCAUCUUCUUUGUACUGUAUAUGGAUGAUAUUUUCUUAAUUGAGAAUGACAUCCCUGCAUUAUAAAGUGUGAAGCUUUGAUUGUCUUCACAAUUCUUCAUGAAAAAUUUACAAGAAGCAUCCUACAUCAUAAGGAUGAAGAUCUAUAGAGAUAGAUCUAAAAGGUUGCUUAGAUUGUUUCAAUUCACGUACAUUGAUACCAUACUGAAAUAGUUCAGUAUGACAAAUUCUCAGAAGAAAUAUCUUUUGAUAGGUCAAAAAAUUUCUCUCUCUAAAAAAGAUUGUCUGACAAUCUCACAAGAGAGAGAGUGUAUGAGUAGAAUCUCAUAUAUCUCGACAGUAGGAUCUAUCAUGUACGCUAUGAUAUAUACGAGAUCGGAUGUUGCCUACUCACUAGGGAUAGUGAGCAAGUAUCAGCUAGAUCCAGAUGAGAACCAUUAGAAGGUUUUAAAAAUUAUCCUCAAGUAUUUAAAAAAUACUAAGGAUCAAUGGUUAAUUUAUGGAGAUGCUGACUUAAAACUUAUGGGAUAUAUAGAUUUCUAUUUUCAGUCAAAUCAUGAUGACAACAAGAGUUUGUCUGGUUACACUUUACUCUUUAUGAUCGAGUGAUAUGCUGAAAAAGUCUCAAGCAACAUACGGUAGCAAAUUUUAUUUGUAAGGUGGAGUACAUUGCGACAUCCGAUGCUGCCAAAGAAGUGAUUUGGUUAAAAAAGUUCAUCAACAAAUUUGGAGUGGUUCCCUCUCUCGAUGGUCUAGUUCUACUGUACUGUGACAACACUGGUGCUAUAGCUCAAGCCAAGAAACUCAAGUCCCAUCAAAGAACCAAAUAUAUUCUGCGUCACUAUCACCUUAUCGUGAGAUCGUGGAUCAAGGUGAUGUCAAUCUUUAGAAGAUCGAUGAAAAAAAAAUUUGGCUAACCCAUUUACUAAAGCUCUCGAAAUCAAGGAGUUCGAUGAUCAUAAGUUAAAGAUGGGUAUUAGAUACCGUUCCAAUUGACUUUAGUUCAAGUAAAAGAUUGUUAGGAAUGUGUCUUAAAAUCAAUCAUCUAAGUUAUAAAUGAUUGCGCUCUUGUAUAUGAAUUGUAAUUGAAUUACAUUAAUAAAAUUUUUUUUUGAUAAGCUCAUCAUAAUUUUGCAUCUUCUUUUUAGAACUCCUUUUAUGAUGAUGUCCUUAGAGCUAUUAAUUAUCGAUAAAAAAAAUUUUAUCGAAUUUAAAAUUUUGUUCAUGACUAAAUGAUACAUUAUUACUAGGACGAUAAUAUUUAUCAAGUAUAGAUUGUUGUGUACCAUAUAGACUGGUUGUCCUUGUAGCCAAGGAGUGUGGAGACGAUAUGGCAUGCAGGUAAAAUAUAGGAGUACAUUUUACUGAACAGUGACUCAAAUGCGGAGCGCUUUGCUUUCAAGAGCUACUCGAGAAAGAUAUGGUAUAAGUGUCUCUCCGAUCUGAGAUCACCAUGGUGAUUUGUAAGCAACUCACUGUACUUUGCUGCUGAACUAUUUAUAUUUCUAAUAUAGUGACGAAAGAUUUCUGAGCACAGUCAAGUACUUGCGAAGUCUGUAUGUGAGUUAAGAUGGGAUUGACUUGCUCUUGAUUUAAGAAGAUAAUGCUAUAUUAUGUUUCAAUUCAGUAAAAUCUUGAUCAGAGUAAUCCUUGUGAUCAGUCACAGAAUUUAUGAAGUUGAAACAUAAUACGGAUGACUUGUCAAGAGUUUGGCAGUUUAACUCUAAGGUCAUCCUAAGCAUUGAUCAAAGGGAUGAAUUAUACGGUAACCAUAUGUCAGGGUUCUGAAAUAUUAUUUUGUAAUUAUUCGACUUAUCUAGACAUCAGAUAUCAUUAUUAGAUGAUCACUUCGAUUAAUAUAAAAAUUAUUUCUGUACUAUCGGUUUAGUGUUCGAAUCUAUAGAAUCAUGCAUAUUAUCAAAUGAUGUGGAAGAGGGCUUGACCUAAAGUCAGUAUGUUCAAUUUGGAAGUAGGUGACUUAAUUGAACAAAUAGACUUACUUAAUUGAGAAUUAAGUUUUGGAUCAUACGGGAUUAAAUACUAGCUAUAUCCAACUACCGCUGAGCAUGAGCUGCAGGAUUAAUUUCGAGGAUGAAUAUGAAUUAAUUUCUGAUCCAAAGAAUUUGAAAGAAUUAAGUUCGACUCCUAAUUUCUUUUAGGAACCAAACUUCUGAUCAGGAUCUGAUCUAUAAUUGGAUUGGAUUUGAGACCUAAUUAAUUUAAAUUAAAUUUAAUUUAAUUAGGCUUGAUUUGAUGUAAGGCCAAUAAUAUAAGUUAGACUUGGAUUUUAACCCUAAUUAGAUUAGGGUCAACAAUUUUUCGAAUAUGAUUCAAAUCAGGUUCGAAUCGGAUUCAAAUUGAGCCUAGAUUGGAACCAAAUUUGAUUUGGUCACUUAGCCAUAAAAUCCCUGGGCUUCUCUCUCAUGUUGACCAACCAUUAGGGAAGAGAGGUGCUAGGAAAUCCUACCCCCUUCCCUUGUGCAUACGAUAAUAUGAGGAGGCGCAAGUUUGGCGCCUCCCCUCCUCCUUGGGUCUCUUUAGGGAUAAGCUAUAAUUUGAAUUAGAUUCAAAUUAGGGCUCUUAUCCCUUGAUGACAUGCCUUAUUAGGUUUGUGAGACAAACCUUAAGAAUGGGUGUUGGGAGGGGUGUGAAAAAAAGAACAACAUCACAAACGAAUGAAGGGUUGGCGUGGGAUUUGAUCUUCAUGCCAAUCUUCCUCCUCCAUGCCUUAUCUCCUUUGCUUCUUCUCUGGUGUGACAUCCAAGAUCAUCAUCCCCUCUCUUUCGCGGAGUGAGACGUGCAAAUGAAGAAGAGGAGUUGCAUCAAUAACUCUCACGAAGCAAGACUUGGAUACUCAAAAUAGAUUUUCUUCCACUGUGUAGAAGGUAUAUUGAUACCUUAUCGAGAAUUUUUAAAUCUGAAAUCUGUUCUUCUUUCCUAAUUUUUCAUCUGAAUUCGGAUUCAGAUCAAAAUAUUUUUCUUCAAAUCUUGGAAGAGAAAACAAAGGAUAGCAUAGAAGUUGGGAUAGAUGUAUGGUCUAGCCACAAUAGGGGACUCUUCAUGAUUCCUAUAGCCUCCCUAGCCAAGAUACUGCAUUGUAUGGCCUUUUUAUCCUAAAGGAGGUGAUUAGAUUUCUUAUAGGUAUCCAAACCCAAUUCAGGACUAUGAUUUGGUUAGGGCCUAGUGGUUUGUCUCCUAGAAGAAGAUCCAUUAGUCAAAUUAAGAAGGCCUCUACCGACUCUAAGGAGGGGAAUGAUCAUCAGAGCUGAACCAAUACUCCCAAUCUUCUCCAGCAUUAGCAGAACUUUCGUCAGAAGAGCGCGAGUCCAUGGGAGCUUGCUUAGAAACAAAGUUAACUCUGAUUUGAACAUUGAAUAUGUGUGGACCAACAGUUACAUUAACAGAUUUCAGAAUGUCAUCAAUGUCAUUGCAAAAGAAAUCAAGAUCGAAGGAUGAAAAAUCUUCCCACUUUAGACAACUUUUGCUAGCUUGAUGAGAUAACCCAAAGCUAGAAAUAAUCAUCAUGAUGGCAUGCGAAUUCCAGCAGAUAAGGGGAAGAUUAAGAAGGCUGGCACUUACCUUUACCUUGAAAACUAUUUCUAUAGUUUUCAACGAAUACAAAGACGGAUACUAAGUUAAUAUUCAUAUUUGUUCUAAAAAGAUAAACAUUAAGUAUAUUUAUGUUUGUCCUGAGUGGAUAGAAAUAUAAGUUGGUAUUAGUUAUCCAUAAUUUUUGUAUCAAAAUAUAAAUAUAAGCUGUAUAUUAUUUAGAUAUAAAUUGAAUUUUUUUCAUUGCUUAAUGAUGAAAAUUAAUAUUAAUUAUAUAAUCAUAAAAGUUGAGAAUCACUAGAUAGAUUGCAUAUGACGUAUAUGCAAGUAAAAAUAUAAUGUAUCAUUAUUAAAUCUGCACAAAGACUAACCUGCUCAAGAGUUUAAGUCAUCGAUUCAAUUGAAUUUAUGUUAAAAUAUUAAAAAUCAAAAUAUUUAAAAUAAAAUAUGAUAUUAUCAGAUAUAGUAAUAUGCAAUUUGGUAAAAAUCAAAUUACAAUUUAAAUCUUCCUGAAUUGAUUAUCAGAUAUAGUAAUCCCUGAUUUGGUGAAAAUUAAAUCAUAAUUCAAACCUUUUUGAAUUGAUUCAUUGUAUAUUCUUUUUUUAUUCUUUUCUGUAGUCUAUUUAUAUGAAGUUAACCAUGUACAGAGAAUUCAAUUUAAAUCAAUAUAUUGAAUUUCUCUUUUUCUUUUAAUUUUGACAUGGUAUUAGAGCCAUUCAUUCCUUAUUCCAUCUAAUCCCAGCCGUCGGAUUCAUCGCUCUUCUUCUCCUUUUUUUCCAGCUGUGGAAUUAUUUUUCUUCUUGAUUGUGAUACUCAUCUGUGCGACCUUCCUAACAUACUGCUGCUCUUGUUCAGCACUCCUCCCUCUUCCUAUCCCUCAAGAGGUUCUUCGAGGCACCCUGGGAGAUCACUGGCCCCUGUGCCAACAUCAGGUAUUGGACCGUCCUCCCUAAAGCCAUCGAGUACCACUGCUUCUCUCUGCUGUUAGCCUUGACUGCUUCUCCAUGGCUAACGAAGAUUUGAGAGAAUCUUCUCAACCUAUGAAAGUCAUUCUUGAUGGGACCGAUUAUUCCUUUUGAUCUCAAUAGAUGACUAGUUUUUUAAAAGAAAGAAAACUAUGGAAAUACAUGACAGGUAACAUACCUCUCCCAAUAAAAAAAGACAAUGGAACUGAUGAAGCCUUUGCUGCUCGACUUGAUGACUGAGAUAGUAACAAUCACAAAAUUAUCACAUGGAUCUCAAAUACAUCGAGUAUCAAUAUUGUCAUGGAAUUUGGCAAAUAUGAAAUAGCAAAAGAAGUUUGGGAUCAUGUUCAUAAAAGGUAUAUUGCUCCAGAUCCAACUCGUAAAUAUAAAUUAAAAUAAGAAUUGCUUUUCCUUCAACAAACUAUAGGUCAAUCGAUAGCAGAUUUUUACUCUUGUAUGUCCGUGCUAUGGCAACAACUGGAUCAGAUGGGUCCAAAACUCAAAAAUAAGGAAAGCAUGAUGGAGUAUGAAAAAUAUCAAGACACUGACAGAUUUUUAGAACUUUUGAUGGUGCUUUCUCUUGAAUUUGAGUCUGUCCGUGCCUCAAUUCUUCACAGAGAUUCUCUUCCAUCUCUUUUCAGUGCAUUGAAUGAACUUCUUUCUGAAGAAAUAUGCAAGGAUCUUCUAACAACAAAUCAACAUCAUCAAGAAGCGGUAUUAUUUGCUAAAAAUAAAGGCAUCACCCUUCAUCAAAAGACACUGGCUCCUUUCCUCAUCAACCAGAUGGCAAAAUAGAUUGGAGCAAAGUUCAAUACCACUUUUGCCAUGAGUUUGGGCAUACUGCAACUAAAUAUCCCAAGAAAACUAGAGGACUUGCACCAUCACGAUCAACUACUGCUGUAGCUACCACAACAAACUUGAUGAACAAUGAGUCUGGUCAUAAGGGAUCUACUCCUACAUUCACAGCUGUUGAAGCGGAGGAUAUUCUUGUUAAAGCCUUGCUUUCGUCAGGAUAAUAUUAUCUCUUCUUCUGCUUCUGCCUUAUCCACCACCUCAUGUAACUCUUCUACUUGGAUUCUUGAUAGUGGUGCUUCUAAUCAUAUGACCUUUGAUGCCUCUUAUCUUUCCACUAAAACACCCACUCGAGAUUGUCAGGUAUGGGAGCAACAGUCGAAGAAGGUCAUUGGGAUUGGCCGUAAAGUGAAUCGCCUCUUCAAGAUUGUUUGGCUACAUACUCCUCAAUUUUCAAUGGUCACUUCAUUAGUAACAACUUCUCAUCUUUGACAUCUUAGAUUAGGUCAUGUCUCAGUUUCUUACUUGAAUAAAUUUAUUUCAGAUGGAUUGUUAGGCCAUGUUGCAAAUAAAAAUAUUGAUUGUAUCCAUUGUAAACUUGAAAUAUUAUCUGCAUUACCUUUUAAUAAUAGCAUUCACAGUCCUUCUGCACCUUUUGAUCUUAUACACUCAGAUGUUUGGCGACCGUCUCGUGAUCCCACUAUGGGUGGAUCUAGAUAUUAUGUUAUUUUCAUUGACAAUUUUUCUCGCUACAUAUGGAUCUACUUGCUUAAAUCUCAUUCAAAAAUAAUUCUUAAAUAUAAAUAUUUUGCAAAAAUGAUCUAUACCCAAUUUUCAAAAAGGAUCAAAGUCUUUCGCUCAGAUUCUGAGGGAGAAUACAUGUUAAAUGAGUUUCGUAACUUUCUAUCUUCAAAGGGUAAUCUCCCAAUUAUCCUACCCUCGCACUCUCCAACAGAAUGGUCCAGUAGAAAAAAAAUAUAGACACAUUCUUGAAAUCACUCACACCCUUCUUUUAUCCUCUGGACUUUCUAAAUACUUUUGGAGAAAAGCUAUUCUAACCGCUGUUUAUCUUAUAAAUCGACUCGCUAGUACUAGUAUAGGAAUGAUCUCUCCUUUAUUUAAGUUAUUUGACAAACAUCCAACAUACGAUCAUCUUAAAUCUUUUAGGUGCGCUUGUUUUAUUUUACUUCUUCCAAAUGAAAAAGACAAACUUUCUGCUCGCUCCAACUUAUGUGUCUUCUUAGGUUAUGGAAUAGAACAAAAAGGUUAUCAAUGUUUCGAUCCCAAAGCCAAUCGCUUGUGCAUCUCAUGAAAUGUGGUAUUUUGGAAAUACAUUUCUUUCACAAACCUCUUUGAUUUCAACUCUCAACAACCAUCUCAGUCCACAAUACUUGAAGUAGAUAACAGUAUCUUUGUAGAUGAUGAUCUACUACAAGCUAAUCCUAUUAAGCCCCUCACGACUGUUAUACCAGUACCUCUAGCUUCAACAAUUGAACGACGAUAUCCUCAACGACAAUAUACAUCUAAUGUACAUCUCACUGGGUAUGAAACCUCUUUUAUUUUUACUUUACUUUCUUAUCAUGAGCCUAAAUCUUACUUAGAAGCAUCCACUACUCCUCUUUGAUAGAAAGUAUUUAAGGAAGAGUUGAAUGCUCUUGCUUAAAAUCAUACAUGGGAUCUUACAGAAUUACCUUCACAUAAGAUAGCUAGUGGAUGUAAGUAGAUCUUUAAGAUCAAAACUCAUUCAGAUGGAUCUAUAGAGUGCUACAAAGCUCGUCUAGUGGCGAAAGGCUACAAUCAGGAAUAUGGCAUUGACUAUGAAGAAACUUUUGUCCCAGUUGCUCGGCUCACUUCUGUUCGAGCCCUCCUUGCAGUAAUUUUUAUACGACAAUGGGAGCUUCAUCAAAUGGAUAUUAAAAAUGUAUUUCUUUAUGGCCAUCUUAAGGAAGAGGUAUAUGUGACCCCACCAUCUAAAGUAUCUCACCAACCUAAUGAAGUAUGUCAUUUUCAUCGAGCACUAUAUGGGCUUAAACAGGCACCAAGAGCAUGAUUCUCCAAGUUCAGCUCUAUCAUUUCAUCUUUUGGCUUUGUUCAAAGCUUAUAUGAUCCUGCAUUGUUUAUUCGAAAAAUUGAUAAAGGCAUCAUUUUAUUACUUCUUUAUGUUGAUGACAUGGUCAUAAUAGGAGAUGACUCUGAGGAUAUCUUGAAACUAAAAGCUUCACUGCAUAGUAAAUUUCAGAUGAAAGAUCUAAGCUCUCUUGACUAUUUUUUAGGCCUUGAAGUCACUACUCAAUCCUCUGGACUAAUUCUUUCUCAAAUUAAAUAUGUUUCUGAUCUCAUUACUCGUGCAGGGUUAAUUGAUGAUAAAACUGCUGCAACAUCCUUAGAGGUCAAUGUCAAGCUUGGUACAAAUGAUGAAAAAUCUCUUAACAAUCUCACACUCUACAGAGAACUUGUUGGUGGGUUAGUAUAUCUAACCACAACUCGAUUUGAUAUAGCUUAUGCAAUCAUGUUGUUAGACAAUUCAUGGCCAAACCUCACACUAGUCACUAUGCAGCAGCUCUUCGUAUCAUUCACUACUUAAAAGGUCAUCUUUUUUAGGGCAUUCUUUUACCACGCACCUCUGAUUUUUAGUUGCAUGCUUAUAGUGAUGCAGACUGUGCCGGCGACAUUAAUGAUCGAUGAUCUACAACUGACUUUUGUAUCUUUUUUGUUGAUUUUCUAAUCUCAUAGAGAAGUAAAAAGCAAGCAACCGUCUCUCGCUCAAGCACUAAAGUAGAAUAUCGAGCUCCUGCUGAUAUUAUCUCUGAACUCGUCUGGCUUCGUUGGCUGAUCUCCGAAGUGGGGUUUCCUCAAGAUAGCUCAACUCCAUUAUUUUGUGAUAAUAAGAAUGCCAUUCAAAUUACUCAUAAUGAAGUUUUUCAUGAAUGUACAAAGCACAUUGAAAUUGAUUGCCACUUCACUCGCCAGCAUGUUCGUCAAGAAACUGUCACGCUCCGCCAUAUCUCUUCUUCAGAUCAACUUACUGAUUUAUUCACGAAGCAACAUCUUGGCUCUCGACUUUCUACUUUAUGUUCGAACUCAAUAUGAUUUCCUGCCAAACCCAUCUUGAGUUUGCGGGAGGUGUCAAAUAUGGUAAUCCUUAAUUUGGUGAAAACCAAAUCACAAUUCAAUCCUUCCUAAAUUGAUUGUCUGAUAUAGUAAUCCCUGAUUUAGUAAAAACCAAAUCACAAUUCAAACUUUCCUGAAUUGAUUCAUUAUAUAUUCUUUUUUUGUUCCUUCCUAUAGUCUAUUUAUACGAUGUAAACUAUGUAUAAAGAAUUCAAUUCAAAUCAAUAUAUUGAAUUUUUCAUUUUCUCUUAAUUUUGAUAAGUAUAAAAAUAUUAAUAAUUUUUGCACCAAAUACUAUUACUACUCUUUAAUAUAUAGUAAAUAAAAAAUAAUCAUUAUUUACCUAUUUUUAGAGACCUUGUAAGAAAUAUUAUACAUAAAUAUAGUAAUACAUUAAAGUUAUUAAUAUUUCUAAAUAUUCAUGGAAAUGAAUGUUUAAAAAUAUUAUAAAGAAUAUUUUAUUUUUAUCAAAACUUACAAAAAAUAAUGUUAGAAUAUGAACUAUCAUAAUAUGUAUAAAUAAAUAUUUAAUAAUCUGAAUACCUUUGAAUAAGUAAAAUAAAGCACCUACAUGAGGUAGCCCGAUGCUUGUGCGCUUGCCCAAAUGUGACUAAGUUUUAUGGUUUAUUUCAGAUUUUUUUUACAUGAUUUUCAAAUCCUAACCUUAAAAAAUUUAAAAUCCAAAAUUUGGAUCCUGGCAAAAUUUAAAAGCAAAAAUCUAAAUUUAGAUCCGGAUCGGAUUGGAUACUAUAAUUACAAUUUGAAUUCUAUCCAAACCUGAUGAUACAUAAACAGAUGCGGUUGGAUAAAUCUUCAGCCCUAAAUCCAAAUAUUUUGAUACCAUGUUUCAUUUUAAUUUAUAGUCUAAAAGCAUACAUAGGUGUGUGUGCAAUGUUGAAAUUAGGAUUGAAUUUUUAAAUUUCAUUUUUGAUAACACAAAUUUGUUCAUUAAUUAUAUUGCUAACGCUUAAAUGGUUGAAGGACAAGUUAAGGCAUGAAUUGGUAUAUGUUUACAUGGUUAAGAUGUGUAGAACAAGAUCAUUUCUCAAAGAUAGUGCGACACUGUGCGUCAUUAUUAUUUCACCAAGUUUCAUGAAGCUGAGAGGGGCAAUGCAACAAAUUGCUCUGUUAAUGUUUCCUAAAAGAUCUGGGAUCUUGCUUUGCUAUUGGUCAUUUGACAAUAUCAUAAGAGUUAAUAACAAAAAUGAGGAGGCAAAAAGAUUAAUUUCAUAGAGGUACGAUUUGCAUCACGAUAGUUCGAUUAUCUAUGAAUGAUUUCUCACCCAACACCUUUUAAAAUGGAUUUCGAAGGGACAGAUACAUCAUUUUUUUUUCUACUGGAUAUAUUACAUCACUUUUGGGGAAGAGUCGGGUCUAAUGGUUGGUGUUUAGAGAAGCAAAGGCUUCCAUCCAUCUUUGCAAAAGAAGAAAAUAUGUCAUUUAUACUCUAAUUUCAAAACAUUGAGAAAUUAUUGUCUGAACCAUGCCUAGGUAGACCGGUGCAUAUCUUGGAGCACACAUGAUAACAUACAAUCGGGAAUUCGUGAAAUAUAAGGGUUAAUGUGGUGUGUUAACUACGGUAGGAUUUGAGUGGUCUGGCUGGGCGUGGUCCAGGCAAUAAUUUCUCCAAAACAUUGCCUAUCAAAUUGACCAACAAAUUGGUCAAUAUUUCAAUAUUAAUUCAAAAUAUUUAUUCAAUAUAAAAAUAUUUAUUAUCCAACAAUAAAUUAAUUCAAUACUAAAAAUAUAUAUUUUAUAUAUUUAUUAUAAUAUAAUAAUAAUAAAUUAAAAUUAUAAAAUUAUAAAAAUAAUAAAUAAGUAUAUUAAUUAUUAUAUAAGCAUAUUAAUUAUUAUUUAAUUAUUAUAUUAUAUAAUAAUAUGAUAAUUAUAAUAAAAAAAUUAAUAAUAACAUAUUAAUUCUAAUAAAAAUGUAUUAAGUCUAAUAAAAUUAGAUUAGAAUAAAUUUAUAUUAUAUUAAUAAUAUCAAUUUAAAAAUAUCAAUUUAUUUAUAAAUUAAUAUUUUUAAUAUAAUAUCUAAUAGAUCAAUAUUCUAUGUGAUAUUUUGUAUCUUCCGAUCAUAACUACUUCGUUGGAUGAUCCAUCUACACCGUAGUAUCCUUUUUUUUUAUCCGAAAUGUUCUCAUAAAUGGCAAAGGUAAAACGUUUCCUAAAAAUUUCAUUGGAUGGAGAAAGCUAGAACAACCCUUGUGGCAUUAAAAUAAAUAGUUGUGAGACGAAGGAUUGAGCCAGGUCCAACCUGCAGUCUACGUUGGAUUUGUGUCAACAUGCAAGCUCUAGCCAAACUAAAAGUAUACGAUAGUAACCACAAUCUUAUUAAGACACAAAAAUUCCAAACUUGAUCUAACUUGCCCUGUCUGAAAUUGUACUGUGCUAGAAUUAUUAAGAUUAUUAAAACACUGUAUUACUGUAUCAGAGUCCCCUUCUGGUUAUGGACUGCAGUAAAUGGGCUAGAGUCGGAGUUUCUUUUGGGCCCAGUAACAAGCCCAGCCCCUACACCUGCUGGUGAUAAGGAGAGAUUCUUUGUGGCCCGCAUGUGGUGUGGAAUGUAUGCACUGCACGAGAUCUGGGCAGCGGUGCGGAAAAAAAAAAAAAUUAUCCAAUUUUAUGGAUGAGUCAAUCACCGCGUACGAUAAGUUUUUAACCUAGGCUCGACCCAUGGGCUCAAUUUGACUUGCUGGCCGACAAAACAAGUGGGCCGCGCUCAGGUGUCGGUCGGCACCCCUACAACAUUUGUAUCCCCAGCAACAAUUACUGCAUCCAAGCCUGUUAAAAGAGAAUUUAACAAGCCCACUAUCUUUCCUAGGAGUUUCCCCUCUUAGAAAAGAUUACUUGUUUCAUUUCAACCCAGUGCAUAAUCUCUUUCCCAAUGGUAAAAGCUGCAACUCGUGGUGGUCAUUACGAUCUUUUUUUUUUUAAAAAAAAAUGUGAGCAAUGAGAUAAAGUUCGCCUUCCAACCCAACACUGGAGAUGAUCAGACUGAGAGAGUCAGCUCCAUAGCAUCCAUGAAGGAAUGCUUCAAAUUAGAAGACAAUCUUCCUUUUUCUUUCUUUCAGUGUAGAAUCAAUGGGCAGUUUAGCUUAAGAAAGAAAACAGAGGAUAACUUUAAAUUAAAAAAAAAAAAGAAAAGAAAGAAAACUUCAAAUUUUAGAAAAAAACUGGGGGAAAGAAAAAGAAAACAGGGCAGGUGUAGUAAACAAUUAGAAGCGCUCAUUUUACACUUAAUUGACAACAAUACACCGUAAAACUGCUUUCAGUCUAUCAAUAGAAAGAUAGAUACAACCUCUACCGGAUGUCUCCGAAGAGACUGAUAGAUACCACCACCUUGAAAAAGAUACAGGGGGGAAAUAAACUAUAUACAUACGAUUCUUGUGCCAAUUGCUUGAAAUGAAGAGAAUCAAGCAGAGAAGAGGCCAUUAAAGGCAGCUAACCCAAAGGGGCUCCUGGGCUCCAAAGCCUUCCUUGCAAGCUCCACCUCCUUGGCUCCCACCUCCCUUACCCAAGAGAGCUCCUCCCCAACCUUCUUUCCAGCAGCUGAAAGAGUCAUGGAGGAACCCAUAAAAUGGAAGCCCAUAUCUUCUCCCAUCCCGUGCUCCUUCUCCCACCUCUUCCUCCUCUCAAACUCCUCCACCACCAAGAGAGCUAUGUCUGCCAUCCCACCCACACUCACGAGAGAGAGAUGAUCCAAGCACAACGCUUAUCUCAAAUCCUUGGAUCUAAAGUUGGUGGGUUCAGCCUCAUUGAAGGAAUCCUUUUAUAUACAUGCUCUCAUCCAUCAUUCAUGAAUUCCACAUGGCUUUGUCCCUUGGUGGGUCGGUGCUGGGUUUUGGAUAAGACCGAGAGAGUUUUUUUGGUUUGUUUAUUAUGAGAAAAUUGCAAUGGGCUUGGCUGGUAUUUUCACCGGAACUUUCGGUGAUGCCCUCCGAUUUGUUUUUUUCCCAUUUUUUUAAGGGUAGUUUCGGUAUUUU
rnacentral:lncRNA from 1 species